AUUGAACGCUGGCGGCAGGCCUAACACAUGCAAGUCGAACGAGUGGCGGACGGGUGAGUAAUGUCUGGGAAACUGCCUGAUGGAGGGGGAUAACUACUGGAAACGGUAGCUAAUACCGCAUACCAUCGGAUGUGCCCAGAUGGGAUUAGCUAGUAGGUGGGGUAAAGGCUCACCUAGGCGACGAUCCCUAGCUGGUCGUAGAGGAGGAACAGCAACAUUGGAACUGAUACACGGUCCAGCCUCCUACGAGAGGCAGCAGUGGGGAAUAUUGCGCAAUGGGUGCAAGCCUGAUGCAGCCAUGCCGCGGGUAUGAAGAAGGCCUUCGGGUUGUAAAGUACUUUCAGCGGGGAGGCGUGACCCGCAGAAGAAGCACCGGCUAACUCCGUGCCAGCAGCCGCGGUAAUAC
rnacentral:rRNA from 1 species